CUCUUAAAGAAAACCCCAUAAACUUAACCAGGGAGUUCUGCUUACUUUUUGCUUCUUCUUUUUCUCUUUUGGUUUAUAUCGUUGAUUAAUUGUACAGAUGUCCACAUCUCAAAAUUCAUUUAUAUAUUAUGAUGUUUUGAGCUUUGACUGGUGCCCCCAACAUGCAUGAGAUUAUUAAUCUUGGAAAGAAAAAUCUCUCGCGAACUUACUAAUUAUUGAAAAAGAAAACUUGCCCAGGCUCAUCCUCACAUGUAAAUUCACAAUGAGAAUAUGAUGUUGCACUAACAACAUUCUUCCUCAGUUCCCUACUCCCUUGCCUAGCUUUCACUCUGUGGCAUAUGGGGAAAGUGAGUCUUUGAGAAUCAGCUGGAUAGAGGAAGAAGAGAUCAUUCGGAGAAUUUUUGAGAGUUUUAAUCUGCGUAUGAAGAUUUGUCUCCCUCAUUGAAUAACCCAUUGGUCUGGCAUCUACAUCUCCCUCCCUCGAGCUGGAUUAAAGUAAAUUCCAAUGUCAUCUGCAGACUUAAUCAUCUUAAUCGUGGUAGUGUGGCUUUCCUAGCUACAUGCUAAAGUUAUAUCUCGGCGUCUUAUUUUAAAGAAUCUUGCAUUAAGGGACUGCAUGGAUUGGCCGUCCACUUUUGGAUGGGACAAAGUAAAUAUUGAAGAGGACUCGCUCCAAACUAUCCAAGUCUUUCUCGUCCUCCACCAAAAGCUUCGGCAAUAUUUGAGGCCAGUGCUUGCAAGAGUCUUUUAAGCAAUGUAGAUUCUCUUUUUGUCCUAGAGAAUGUAAUUCUCAAACUCAUAACGUUGCCAACUCUGUAUUUAGGAGUUCUUAAGGGUUGUAAUAAAAUUAAAAAAAUUAAAAAAAUAUUAAAUACUAGAUUCAUCAGUUAUUUAUGGUACUUAAUUAGAUUUGUGGCUAUUAAA
rnacentral:lncRNA from 1 species